rnacentral:rRNA from 1 species
UGGGCCCGACGUCGCAUGCUCCCGGCCGCCAUGGCGGCCGCGGGAAUUCGAUUAGAGUUUGAUCCUGGCUCAGAUUGAACGCUGGCGGCAGGCCUAACACAUGCAAGUCGAGCGGUAGAGAGGUGCUUGCACCUCUUGAGAGCGGCGGACGGGUGAGUAAUGCCUAGGAAUCUGCCUGGUAGUGGGGGAUAACGCUCGGAAACGGACGCUAAUACCGCAUACGUCCUACGGGAGAAAGCAGGGGACCUUCGGGCCUUGCGCUAUCAGAUGAGCCUAGGUCGGAUUAGCUAGUUGGUGGGGUAAUGGCUCACCAAGGCGACGAUCCGUAACUGGUCUGAGAGGAUGAUCAGUCACACUGGAACUGAGACACGGUCCAGACUCCUACGGGAGGCAGCAGUGGGGAAUAUUGGACAAUGGGCGAAAGCCUGAUCCAGCCAUGCCGCGUGUGUGAAGAAGGUCUUCGGAUUGUAAAGCACUUUAAGUUGGGAGGAAGGACAUUAACCUAAUACGUUAGUGUUUUGACGUUACCGACAGAAUAAGCACCGGCUAACUCUGUGCCAGCAGCCGCGGUAAUACGAAUCACUAGUGAAUUCGCGGCCGCCUGCAGGUCGACCAUAUGGGAGAGCUCCCAA